rnacentral:rRNA from 1 species
UUGUAAAUGUGGUNAUUUUGGAAUYGUUCAAGUGAAAUNNAAUANNUUGAGGACUGCUGUGCUUNARCUUUGCCUUGUAUUUCNAGGUCUAUGUUAUUUCAUCAUUACAACCCUCKGNNUGAGAAUGUUGAAAUUGGGUCUUUUGUACCUAUAAAGUUAAAUAUACAACUUUCAGCAACGGAUCUCUUGGCUCUCGCAUCGAUGAAGAACGCAGCGAAAUGCGAUAAGUAAUGUGAAUUGCAGAAUUCAGUGAAUCAUCGAAUCUUUGAACGCAUCUUGCGCUCCUUGGUAUUCCGAGGAGCAUGCCUGUUUGAGUGUCAUUAAGCUCUCAACUGCACUAGUUUUAUCUAGUUGUAGCUUGGAGNGGGGGUUUUGUUUUGCAGGCUUCAGAUAAUGAAGUCGGCUCCCCUAAAAUGUAUUAGUGGUCUCUGAGCAGAGAAAACGGUGUGAUAAUUAUCUAUGCCUNANUACUUUGCAUGAAAAGAUUGUAUUGCUUCUAACACAAAGUGACUCCACUUUAUGUUUGACAAAUUUGACCUCAAAUCAGGUAGGACUACCCG